rnacentral:rRNA from 1 species
AUGGCCGCAGCGGUGGUCGACGCAGCGGUGCCGGUGGCGGCGAAGGCGAACGGCGCCGGGGCGAGGUGCUGCGCGGCGAAGGGGCCCGGGUACGCCACGCCCAGGGAGGCCAUGGAGAAGGGCCCGCGGGAGGGGCUCCUCUACGUCACCUGCGUCUACAAUGGUACUGGAAUCGACAAGCCGGAUUACCUGGCCACGGUGGACGUCGACCCAAAUUCAGCGACCUACUCCCAGGUGAUCCACAGGCUCCAGGCGACCCACAUCGGCGACGAGCUGCAUCACUCUGGCUGGAACGCCUGCAGCUCCUGCCACGGCGAUCCAUCCACGAGCCGGCGCUUCUUGAUUCUUCCUUCGUUGCUGUCUGGCCGUUUGUAUGUGGUCGACACUGCGAAGAAUCCGAGGGCGCCUGCUCUGCACAAGGUUGUCCAGGCUGAGGACAUUGCUGAGAAGACCGGGCUUGGGUUCCCUCACACAUCCCAUUGCCUUGCAACCGGUGACAUAAUGAUUUCUUGUCUGGGAGACAAGGAGGGAAAUGCUGCUGGCAAUGGCUUUCUCUUGCUGGAUUCAGAAUUUAACGUCAAAGGACGUUGGGAAAAGCCAGGUCACAGCCCCUUGUUUGGCUAUGAUUUCUGGUACCAGCCUCGUCACAAGACGAUGAUCAGCUCUUCAUGGGGAGCCCCGGCAGCUUUCAGGACAGGUUUUGAUCUCCAGCAUGUCCAGGAUGGUCUCUAUGGAAGGCACCUGCAUGUGUAUGACUGGCCUGGUGGUGAGCUCAAGCAGACACUGGAUCUAGGGAGCACAGGUCUUCUUCCGCUGGAGGUGAGGUUUUUACAUGAUCCAUCAAAGGACACUGGCUAUGUUGGCUGUGCUUUAACAAGCAACAUGGUGAGAUUCUUCAAAACUGCAGAUGGAUCAUGGAGCCAUGAGGUAGCUAUAUCCAUAAAACCGUUGAAGGUGCGCAACUGGAUACUGCCAGAAAUGCCAGGAUUGAUAACUGACUUUGUCAUCUCUCUCGAUGACCGUUAUCUCUACUUGGUCAAUUGGCUUCAUGGGGAUAUCAGGCAGUACAACAUUGAGGACCCUGCAAAGCCUGUGUUGGCUGGACAAGUGUUUGUAGGUGGGCUUCUUCAAAAGGGCAGUGAUGUUGUCUAUGUGACCGACGAUGACAAAGAAGAGCAGUAUGCUGUGCCUGAAGUCAAGGGGCAUCGGCUUAGAGGUGGGCCGCAGAUGAUUCAGCUGAGCUUGGAUGGCAAGAGGGUGUAUGUGACCAACUCUCUCUUCAGCCGGUGGGACGAGCAGUUCUACGGCCCUGACCUUCUCAAGAAGGGAUCUCACAUGUUGCAGAUCGACGUCGACACUGAGGAAGGAGGGCUGGCUGUCAACCCCAACUUCUUUGUUGAUUUCGGGACCGAGCCUGAAGGUCCCUCCUUGGCCCAUGAGAUGAGAUAUCCUGGUGGAGACUGCACCUCUGACAUAUGGAUCUAG